rnacentral:RNase_P_RNA from 1 species
CCAGACGGUUGGAGGAUCGCUCCCGUCGCAGUAACCUGCGGCGGCGAGAGGAAAGUCCGGGCUCCAGAAAGACAGGGUGCCGGGUAACGCCCGGCGAGGGUGACCUUAGGGAAAGUGCCACAGAAAGCAAACCGCCGCUCCCAACCCGCUUUGGCGGAAUUGGCGAACGGUAAGGGUGAAAGGGUGCGGUAAGAGCGCACCGCGGCCUGGGCAACCAGGUCGGCACGGUAAACCCCACCCGGAGCAAGACCGAAUAGGAGUGACAGCCAUGGUCUCAUCUCUCCCGGUGUGGUGGGAUUAAUGGCAGCGGGUCUUUCCGCCGUUACUCGGGUUGGUCGCGUCAGGCGAAGGGUAACCUUCGUCGCAGAGGAAUGAUUCUCGACGGUGGUCGCUGCGGGUCAAGGGACUACCGAGACAGAACCCGGCUUAUAGACCGUCUGGCGAC